AGAUUAAGUUAUUAAGGGCGCACGGUGGAUGCCUUGGCACUAGAAGCCGAUGAAGGACGUUACUAACGACGAUAUGCUUUGGGUAGCUGUAAGUAAGCGUUGAUCCAGAGAUUUCCGAAUGGGGGAACCCAGCAUGAGUUAUGUCAUGUUAUCGACAUGUGAAUUCAUAGCAUGUCAGAAGGCAGACCCGGAGAACUGAAACAUCUUAGUACCCGGAGGAAGAGAAAGAAAAAUCGAUUCCCUGAGUAGCGGCGAGCGAAACGGGAAGAGCCCAAACCAACAAGCUUGCUUGUUGGGGUUGUAGGACACUCUAUACGGAGUUACAAAAGAACAUGUUAGACGAAUCAUCUGGAAAGAUGAAUCAAAGAAGGUAAUAAUCCUGUAGUCGAAAACAUAUUCUCUCUUGAGUGGAUCCUGAGUACGACGGAGCACGUGAAAUUCCGUCGGAAUCUGGGAGGACCAUCUCCUAAGGCUAAAUACUCUCUAGUGACCGAUAGUGAACCAGUACCGUGAGGGAAAGGUGAAAAGUACCCCGGAAGGGGAGUGAAAGAGAACUUGAAACCGUGUGCUUACAAGUAGUCAGAGCCCGUUAAUGGGUGAUGGCGUGCCUUUUGUAGAAUGAACCGGCGAGUUACGAUCUGAUGCAAGGUUAAGCAGCAAAUGUGGAGCCGCAGCGAAAGCGAGUCUGAAUAGGGCGUUGAGUAUUUGGUCGUAGACCCGAAACCAGGUGAUCUACCCUUGGUCAGGUUGAAGUUCAGGUAACACUGAAUGGAGGACCGAACCGACUUACGUUGAAAAGUGAGCGGAUGAACUGAGGGUAGCGGAGAAAUUCCAAUCGAACUUGGAGAUAGCUGGUUCUCUCCGAAAUAGCUUUAGGGCUAGCCUCAAGUGAUGAUUAUUGGAGGUAGAGCACUGUUUGGACGAGGGGCCCCUCUCGGGUUACCGAAUUCAGACAAACUCCGAAUGCCAAUUAAUUUAACUUGGGAGUCAGAACAUGGGUGAUAAGGUCCGUGUUCGAAAGGGAAACAGCCCAGACCACCAGCUAAGGUCCCA
rnacentral:rRNA from 1 species